rnacentral:rRNA from 1 species
CUCUUCCCAUUCCGAACAGAGAAGUUAAACCUUAUCACGCCGAUGGUACUGCGAAAGCGGGAGAGUAGGUAAUCGCCGCCU